rnacentral:rRNA from 1 species
GACGAACGCUGGCGGCGUGCUUAACACAUGCAAGUCGAACGGAAAGGCCCUGCUUUUGUGGGGUGCUCGAGUGGCGAACGGGUGAGUAACACGUGAGUAACCUGCCCUUGACUUUGGGAUAACUUCAGGAAACUGGGGCUAAUACCGGAUAGGAGCUCCUGCUGCAUGGUGGGGGUUGGAAAGUUUCGGCGGUUGGGGAUGGACUCGCGGCUUAUCAGCUUGUUGGUGGGGUAGUGGCUUACCAAGGCUUUGACGGGUAGCCGGCCUGAGAGGGUGACCGGCCACAUUGGGACUGAGAGACGGCCCAGACUCCUACGGGAGGCAGCAGUGGGGAAUAUUGCACAAUGGGCGGAAGCCUGAUGCAGCAACGCCGCGUGCGGGAUGACGGCCUUCGGGUUGGAAACCGCUUUCGCCUGUGACGAAGCGUGAGUGACGGUAAUGGGUAAAGAAGCACCGGCUAACUACGUGC